GAUGAACGCUGGCGGCGUGCUUAACACAUGCAAGUCGAACGGUGAACACGGAGCUUGCUCUGUGGGAUCAGUGGCGAACGGGUGAGUAACACGUGAGCAACCUGCCCCUGACUCUGGGAUAAGCGCUGGAAACGGCGUCUAAUACUGGAUAUGUGACGUGACCGCAUGGUCUGCGUUUGGAAAGAUUUUUCGGUUGGGGAUGGGCUCGCGGCCUAUCAGCUUGUUGGUGAGGUAAUGGCUCACCAAGGCGUCGACGGGUAGCCGGCCUGAGAGGGUGACCGGCCACACUGGAACUGAGACACGGCCCAGACUCCUACGGGAGGCAGCAGUGGGGAAUAUUGCACAAUGGGCGCAAGCCUGAUGCAGCAACGCCGCGUGAGGGAUGACGGCCUUCGGGUUGUAAACCUCUUUUAGCAGGGAAGAAGCGAAAGUGACGGUACCUGCAGAAAAAGCGCCGGCUAACUACGUG
rnacentral:rRNA from 1 species